rnacentral:misc_RNA from 1 species
UUUCCAGCUCGCCUGGCCUUUGGUGUCGUCCCCCACCCCCAUCGGCAUCCUCUUAUCGGUAUCGCCCUCUUUUUGUUCUUUUUUUUUCCUGCUCGCCGCUCUUCCCCUCUCACACACCAACUCCCUCGUCAACCCCUCAGCGGCGUCGUUCUUGUCACAAACUGCGCGAAAGAAAAUAAUGGUCAACGCAGUCGCCGAGGAGCUGAAGGCUCGUGGUAACGAGGCCUUUGCGGCGAAGAACUUUGAGGAGGCCAUCGCGCUUUACGACAAGGCCAUCGAGGUGGACUCAACAAACUUCAUCUAUUACAACAACCGCGCCGCGGCUUACCACGAGCUCAAAAACUACGCCAAGGCGAUCGAGGAUGCCAAGAGGUCCAUCGCGAUCGAGAACAACGCCAAGGCGCACGCCCGUCUCGGAGCCGCACUGUGGGCACAGAUGAAGUACCGCGAGGCGAAAAACGAGUUCGAAGUGGCGGCGACAAUGGAUCCCUCGAAAACGUCCAUCAAGGACAGCAUUCAAGCCUUGGAACAGCUCAUCAACCCAAUGGCCUCCACCUCCGCCUACGCGAACCGCCGCGGCGUGCCGCACCCGUACGAGUACGCCCGCGCCGCGGCAGCGGCCAAUGCGGCAGUUCAGCUGUGGGGCGGCGAGUUUGUGUCUGUGGAAACAGGCACCAUCGGCCUCGUGCUUGACGUCGCCGUCGCCGUCUUGGCAGCACUGCAGCUGGUGUCGUCGAUGCUGGCGCCGCCCAUGGCGAGCACCCUCUGGACGUACGUUCUGCUCAUCACAAUGGGCCAGCAGGCCGUGGUGAUGCGCAUGCGCAACCUCCUGCAGUUCAAGAUGAACAUCCUGAGCUCGUGGAUGUCGCACUUCUCCUCUCUGCUGUUUACUCUAUGCUUCUUCGCCCAGCUCACCAGCGUUCGGCCGAUCAUGUUCAUGGUAGUCUUCAUCGCCGCCUACAGCGUGCUCGACCUGGUGCAGAAGCGCCAACAGGUCGCCACCCUGAUGGGCCCCAUGUACCGGCUUAUUGCGCCAUACAUGCAGCAGGCCGAUUUGGCGAAGGACGCGAUUCGCAUCUUCACCGCUACUGUCGAGGCGCUACUACUGUUCACUGUCAUGUUCACCGGCGGCACCUUCUUCACGCUGGUGUACAUUCAGUACGCAAAGUACCGCUACAACCACGACGGCUACGUGAAGCUCGCCUUCAAGGGCUUGCGGAUGACCAUCACCCGCAUGACCACUAAGUCAUUUAUGCCGCAGGCAGUCGACCGGUAUGCCCAGAAGUUCUUUGAUCUCCUCGAUAAAGUCGCCAGCCAGCCAAUUUAAGCACUCCUGUCGAGGGCAUAUGCGCUUCUGUGCGCAUUUGUGGGUGCGUGGGAGUGGGCGCCCACUCUCACGCACCCAUUUUGGUGGCCGAUGAGGGAGAAGUGAAUGCUCGGUGCGGUUGCUCGGCCUCUUUGCCGUUGUCAAUGCGCGGUUGGCGUUCUGCAUAACAGAGCGGACGUCUGUGCGCGUGCGUGUGUGGUGUCUUUAUCGUCCAGUGGACUCGCCUGCUCAGCGUUGUGCGUCGCUUCUCCCUUCUCCCUUGCCAGGUGGGGUGCCUGUGCUUUCUGUUGUCAUUUCGGUGUUUUUGUCCCCCCCUCUGUUGCUGUUGAGCAGGCAACCUUGACCGGAGGCCGAGGCGCUGAUGGACUCCUCGUGUGAUCUUAGUUUCGCCGGCAAGGGCCAGCGUAUUGUCGGCUCUCCGGGUGAUCACAAGCAACGAAGGGGGAUCGCGGAGCGAACUCGCUGUAAAAGGAACGCAGCGGAAAUAUAAUAAUGAGAACAAAAAAGCAACGCAUCAAGGUCCCAGAACGGGACUACGACUAAAUGGUUCAUCGACGGCGUUGCAUGUUUGUGUUUGUGUGUGUUCAUGCGCAUGUGCGGCCGCAUCGCUCUAAUUAAAAAGAAAGACAUGAUUAUUGGUCUAGGUUUCCUGCACUUUGGUUCCCUUUUUUUUCCUCCGUCUCUGUAUCCCACUCCCCACCUCAUUUUUGCUCGGGAAGUCUGCCCCAUCCGCCGUCAUUCUGACCCGCUUCACUCUUCGUACAUUGCUGAUUUGUGUGUACUCUGUUGAGCUGGUCUUCGCCUCCCGUUUUUCCCCUCAUUUUGCGGUCGUCUUCGACAGUAAGCGUAUCAUUAGUGAUCGUGAAGCACCAAGGCGCAAGCAAACGAGAAACCGAAAACACCAAGGCAAAAGGCGGCGCAGAAGUGCCGUGGCGUUUUCUCGUGUCCAUGCGAAUGAGCUUCUGUGCGCCUCUUCAUUCUUUUCUUUUUCCUGUGUGGGCCGGUUACACCCCGUACCCUUUUCCCACUCGACUGCGUGCAGCCGAGGUGGUGGACCGCUUCCGAUAGGGGACACGUGCUGCACCUUUCCUGCUUCACUCUCGCCCGCUUCUCCCGGCCUUGCAUGAGUACACCAGAGACUCGCUGGCGCAUCUUCCUGGAGCCGCCGCCGCCCUACUUCCUCCUUCCCCACCACUCUUUGACACCUCCUCAG